UUUUUUUUUUUUUUUUUUUUUUUUCUUUUUUGGCCACCCUGUGGCAUAUGGAUAUCCUCAAGCCAGGGGUCAUAUCUGAGCCACAGUUGCAACUUACACUGCAGCUUGGCAAUGGCAGAUCCUUUAACCCACUGUGCAGGCCAGGGAUUGAACCUGUAUCCUGGUGCUGCGGAGAUGCUACCAAUCAUGUUGCACCACAGCAGGAACUCCCCAAAUGUAAUUUUCUAUUUUCAGUGAAACUAUCUUCAGAAACAAAGAGGAAAUAAAGGUAUUUGUAAAUGAACAAUGUUAAAAUAAUUUGCCAUUAACAGACCUAAACUUAAAGCUAGACUAAAUGUCUUAAUGUUUGCAGUACAAUGAUCAAAGAAGAAAUAAGAAAGAAAAACAGUUAAGAGUAGAAAUGUAAGAAUAUACUAUAGAUUAUAUUUCUCCUCUAAAGAAUAUAUCAAUCAUACUUGAUAAUUAUAACAGAAAUUAUAACAUGAUCUGAUAUCAAAAACAACAAUAUUUUGGAGUUCCCGUGGUGGCUCAGUGGUUAAUGAAUCCGACUAGAACCAUGAGGUUGCGGGUUCAAUCCCUGGCCUUGCUCAGUGGGUUACAGAUGUGGUGUUACCAUGAGCUGUGGUGUAGGUUGCAGACACGGCUCAGAUCCCAUGUUGCUGUGGCUCUGGCGUAGGCCAGCAGCUACAGCUCUGAUUAGACCCCUAGCCUGGGACCCUCCAUAUGCUGGGGGUGCAGCCCUAAAAAAGGCAAAAAGACAAAAAACAAAUAAAUAAAAAUAAAAUAAGGAUAAAAAAUAAAAAGCAACAAUAUUUUCAAAUACAAAAGAUAAAACUAAAAGGAAUCACUAAAUAAUGGUCAUCCCUCAACAAGCUAAACUCAGAAAUGUUUAAUGAGCGGAAGAAUCAGAUUUCCAAAUUACCACAUUAUACUUUUAUAUUCAGAAUGCCCCUUUCUCAACCACAAUAAUAACAACAAAAUUAAAAAUCAUACAAAGGAAAGUUGAUUCACAGGAAAGUAUUUGGCAGAAACCAUGGAAAAGAAGAAAUCAGCAAAGCUAUGUAAGCAAAAUAAGAAUAUCAAUAAAGAGAUACAAUUAUGAAAAGAAGGAAAGUAUGAUUAUCCCAUUGUGGCUUAGUGGGUUAAGAGCCCGAAUAGUAUCCAUGAGGAGUGGGUUUGAUCCCUGGCCUCAUUCAGUGGGUUAAGGAUCCAGCAUUGCUGUGAGCUGCUGCAUGGGUUGCAGAUACAGCUUGGAUCCCACAUUGCUGUGGGUGUGGCAAAGGCCAGCAGGUACAGUUCCAAUUCAACCCCUAGCCUGGGAACUUCCAUAUGCCAUGGGUGAAGCCCUAAAAAGAAAAAAAAAAAAAUAUAUGAAAAGGAAUCAAACCAAAAUUCUGGAAAUGGAAGUUACAAUAGCUGAAAUGAAAAUAGAGAUAUUCAACAGCAGAUCAGAGGAAGCAGAAAAAAGGACCAAUGAAUUUGGAGAUAAGGCAAUUCAAAUUAUAUAUACAGUCUAAGGAACAGGAAAAAAAGGAAGGCAGUCUGAUGGACUUGAAUAUCAAAAAUAUCAACAUUGGAGUUCCCGUGGUAGCACAGCAGAAGCAAAUCCGACUGGGAACCAUGAGGUUGUGGGUUUGAUCCCUGGCCUUGCUCAGUGGGUUAAGGAUCCGGUGUUGUCGUGAGCUGUGGUGUAGGCCGCAGACAUGGCUCAGAUCUGGCAUUGCUCUGGCUGUGGUGUAGGCUGGCAGCUACAGCUCCAAUUAGACUCCUAGCCUGGGAACCUCCAUAUGCCACAGGUGCUGCCCAAAAAAGCAAAAAUAAAAUAAAAUAAAAAACCCUCAACACAGGCAUAAUAGAGUUCUGGGAGAAGACAGAAAGAAACUAAAAGAGACAGAAAGAAUACUUAAGAAAUAAUGGCCAGAAACUUCCCCAAACUGACGAAAUACAUGAAUAUACACCUCCAAGAUACUCAACAAAUACCAAGCUGAGUAAGACAUCCACACCAAUAUACAUUAUAGUAAAUUAUCAAAACACAAACAUAGAGAAUUUUUCGGGUAGCAAGAGAGAACAGACUCAUCAUGUACAAGAGAUUUUUCAGUAAGAUUAACAGCUGAUUUUCCAUCAGUACUGUGGAGGCCAGAAGACAUGAGAUGGUAUAUUUCAAGUCCUGAAAGAGGAGCUCCCGCUGUGUCUCAACAGGAUUGGCAGCGUCUCGGAGCACUGAUACAUGGGUUCAAUCCCUGGCCUGGUACAGUGUGUAAAGGAUCUGGUGUUGCCGCAGCUGCAGCUUAAAUCACAACUGCGGCUCAGAUCUGAUCCUUAUCCUGGGAGCUCCAUAUGCCACAAGAUGGCCAAAAAUGAAAAACAAAAUAAAAAGAAAGAGAGAACUGUCAACCAAUAAUUCUAUAUCCAGCAAAGUCAUCCUUGAACAGUGAAUGAGAAAUUAAGACAUUUCCAUAGUAACAAAAACAGAUGGUGAAUUACCAUAGACCCACCCUGCAGGAGAUGAUAGGGAAGACCUUCACAUUGAAAUGAAAAGACCCUAGACAUUAACUCAAAGUUAGAAGAAAUAGGAGUUCCCUGGUGCCCCAGAGGGUUGAGGAUCUAGAGUUGUCACUGCUUGGCUCAAGUUUGAUCCCUGGCCUAGGAACUUCUGCAUACCACACGCAUGACCAAAAAAAUAAAAUACUCCCCGAAAAGUAGAAGAAAUAAAUUAAAAUGGCAAAGGUGACUACAUAAGUAAAUAUAAAGGCUGAUAUUAUUGUACUUUAGCUUUGUAACUCCUCUUUUUUUCCUAUAUGACUUAAAAGGCAAAUACAUAAAGCAAUAAUUAUAAAUCAAUGUCAAUGAGAAAAUAAUCUAUAAAGAUGUAAUCUUUGACAACAAUGAUAUAAAGGGUAAGGAUGGAAAUGUCUACAAGCUGAGUAUUUCUACACUGUUGAUAAGCUGAUAUUAUUCAUGCAAAAUUUGUUUACUUAAAACGAUUUUUUUUUUGUCUUUUGUCUUUUUUAGGGCUACACCCAUGGCAUAUGGAGGUUCCCAGUCUAGGGGUCUAAUCGGAGCUACAGUUGCUGGCCUAUGCCAGAGCCACAGCAACGCCACAUCCGAACCACGUCUGCAAACUACACCACAGGUCACAGCAACACCAGAUCCUUAACCCACUGAGCCAGGCCAGAGAUCCAACUAGCAACCUCAUGGUCCCUAGCCAGAUUCAUUUCUGCUGCACCACGAUGGGAACUCCUACUUAAAACAAUUGUUAAUUUCAACCCCCAAGGUAAUCACUUAGAAAAUAACUUAAAAAUUUUUUUUAAAAAAGAGAAUCAAAAUGUACACUACAAAAAAUAAAAUAAAAUACAAAAAAAAAACAAUAGAGGAACCAAAUAUAUAUAAGAUAUAGAAAAAAACAAAUAAGCAGGAGUUCACAUCAUGGCUCAGUGGUUAAUGAAUCUGACUAGCAUCCACGAGGACACAGGUUUAAUCCCUGGCCUCGCUCAGUGGGUUAAGGACCCAGCUUUGCCAUGAGCUGUGGUGUAGGUCACAGAUGUGGCUGGGAUCCCACGUUGCUGUGGUGUAGGCCGGCAGUUGCUGCUCUGAUUUGACCCCCAGCCUGGGAACCUCCAUACGCCACAAAAGACAAGACAAAAAAAAAAAAAAAAAAAAAAAAAA
rnacentral:lncRNA from 1 species